rnacentral:rRNA from 1 species
AGAGUUUGAUCCUGGCUCAGGACGAACGCUGGCGGCGUGCCUAACACAUGCAAGUCGAACGAAGUGCUUACAACAGAUUCCUUCGGGAUGAAGAUGUAAGUAUCUUAGUGGCAAACGGGUGAGUAACGCGUGAGAAACCUGCCUUUCACAAAGGAAUAGCCUCGAGAAAUCGGGAUUAAUGCCUUAUGAUACUUUUUAUACGCAUGUAUGAAAAGUUAAAGCGUAAAGCGGUGAAAGAUGGUCUCGCGUCCCAUUAGCUAGUUGGUGAGAUAACGGCUCACCAAGGCAACGAUGGGUAACCGGUCUGAGAGGAUGAACGGUCACACUGGAACUGAGACACGGUCCAGACUCCUACGGGAGGCAGCAGUGGGGAAUAUUGCACAAUGGAGGAAACUCUGAUGCAGCGACGCCGCGUGAAUGAUGAAGGCUUUCGAGUCGUAAAAUUCUGUCCUUAGGGAAGAUAAUGACGGUACCUAAGGAGGAAGCCCCGGCUAACUACGUGCCAGCAGCCGCGGUAAUACGUAGGGGGCGAGCGUUGUCCGGAUUUAUUGGGCGUAAAGGGUUCGCAGGCGGUUUUUUAAGUCAGGUGUUAAAGACUACAGCUUAACUGUAGAAAGCAUUUGAAACUGGAGAACUUGAGUUAAGGAGAGGAAAGUGGAAUUCCUAGUGUAGCGGUGAAAUGCGUAGAUAUUAGGAGGAACAUCAGUGGCGAAGGCGACUUUCUGGACUUAUACUGACGCUGAGGAACGAAAGCGUGGGGAGCAAACAGGAUUAGAUACCCUGGUAGUCCACGCCGUAAACGAUGAGUGCUAGGUGUCGGGGGUCAAACCUCGGUGCCGGAGCUAACGUAUUAAGCACUCCGCCUGGGGAGUACGUACGCAAGUAUGAAACUCAAAGGAAUUGACGGGGACCCACACAAGCAGCGGAGCAUGUGGUUUAAUUCGAAGAUACGCGAAGAACCUUACCAGGACUUGACAUACUAGUGACCGGUGUAGAGAUACAUCUUUCCCUUCGGGGACACUAAUACAGGUGGUGCAUGGUUGUCGUCAGCUCGUGUCGUGAGAUGUUGGGUUAAGUCCCGUAACGAGCGCAACCCCUAUUUUUAGUUGCUACCACUAAGUUGAGCACUCUAGAGAGACUGCCGUCGAUAAGACGGANGAAGGCGGGGAGGACGUCAAAUCAUCAUGCCCCCUAUGUCCUGGGCUACACACGUGCUACAAUGGUCAGUACAACGGGCAGCUACACAGCGAUGUGAUGCUAAUCCCUUAAAGCUGAUCUCAGUUCGGAUUGUAGGCUGCAACUCGCCUACAUGAAGUCGGAGUUGCUAGUAAUUGCGGGUCAGAACACCGCAGCGAAAAAAGUCCUGGGUCUUGCACACACCGCCCGUCA